UGGGGAAUAUUGCACAAUGGGCGAAAGCCUGAUGCAGCGACGCCGCGUGAACGAUGAAGCCCUUCGGGGUGUAAAGUUCUUUCGACAGGAACGAUAAUGACGGUACCUGGAGAAGAAGCUGCGGCUAACUACGUGCCAGCAGCCGCGGUAAUACGUAGGCAGCGAGCGUUGUUCGGAGUUACUGGGCGUAAAGAGUGCGUAGGCGGCGAGCCAAGUUUGGUGUGAAAUCUCCCGGCUUAACCGGGAGGGGGCGCCGAAAACUGGUUGGCUGGAGUAUGGGAGAGGAAAGCGGAAUUCCUGGUGUAGCGGUGAAAUGCGUAGAUAUCAGGAGGAACACCUGCGGUGUAGACAGCUUUCUGGACCAAAACUGACGCUGAGGCACGAAAGCGUGGGUAGCAAAC
rnacentral:rRNA from 1 species